AUGGGCGUCUUACCAGACAUGGUUAGAUCUAAUAAUUUGUGUCUAAUACUGUCUGGUAAUGCCGUCCAU
rnacentral:pre_miRNA from 1 species